GUUUCUGUAGUGUGGUGGUUAUCAUGUUUGCUUUACAUGCAAAAGGUUGCUGGUUUGAAACCAGACAGCAACA
rnacentral:tRNA from 1 species